rnacentral:rRNA from 1 species
AACGAACGCUGGCGGCAGGCUUAACACAUGCAAGUCGAGCGCCCCGCAAGGGGAGCGGCAGACGGGUGAGUAACGCGUGGGAAUCUACCCAUCUCUACGGAAUAACGCAUGGAAACGUGUGCUAAUACCGUAUACGUCCUUCGGGAGAAAGAUUUAUCGGAGAUGGAUGAGCCCGCGUUGGAUUAGCUAGUUGGUGGGGUAAAGGCCUACCAAGGCGACGAUCCAUAGCUGGUCUGAGAGGAUGAUCAGCCACACUGGGACUGAGACACGGUCCAGACUCCUACGGGAGGCAGCAGUGGGGAAUUUUGGACAAUGGGGGCAACCCUGAUCCAGCCAUGCCGCGUGAGUGAAGAAGGCCUUCGGGUUGUAAAGCUCUUUCACCGGUGAAGAUAAUGACGGUAACCGGAGAAGAAGCCCCGGCUAACUUCGUGCCAGCCGCCGCGGUAACAC